GUCUGUGGGAGGGGAGGUAGUUAGACAGAACGACCAGGUAGCUCGCCGCGCGUGCAUGUUGUCCACGUCCCUGGCGCGCACGCGCGGGUCGCAGCACCAACAGCUGGAGAGCCCGGGAUCAGAGGAGUGUGCACACUGUCCGCGGGGGUCUGCGCGGGUGUGGCCCAUGCCGCCAGCUCCACCUGGUCCAGGAGGCUACCCUGUUGCCUCCUGUCCCUGUCCCCAGGGUGUCAACACCCUCCUCUGUCACCCCACCACACCUGAGCAAAACUUUCCCCUUGCCUCCCCAAUUGAAACUCCGGAGUCCGAAGCUGCUGCAAACCGCCCUGGCCCUAGCAUCAAGGUUCUGGCCAUCCCUGGAGCACAGCUAGGUGUUAGGAGGGUGAUGUCCUAAAGCCGCGAGUGUCCUAAGCCAGUCUUCCUCCAACCUAUAAGACUACCAAUGCAGAGUUUCACUUACCAAGUCAGAGUCACAGAAACCUGGUCCUCAGAGAAAAGCACAGCAAGUCAGAUCCAGUGAAGGCCUAGACUGUGUGGCAUUCAGCCAUUAGGGAAAUACCAUUGAGGCUGCAGCAGAGUUUGUGCUCACCUAAGUGGAGAGGGUGCCAUCUGAAAUUCUGUCCCACCAUACUGUGGCCAUGUGGCAUGCAGACUCAUCAUUGCCAACAUUCUGGGAAGGAUCCUGAAAUUAAGAGUUUAUGUGGGUUAGUUGCUAAUUGUAAUAAAAUAUAACAGCCUGUUCUGAUCGGUGUACUAAGCAUGUUAUAUCUUUGGCAAAU